CUUCCUCUGUCGAAUCAGCUUGGCCAGCUGAACACCUGAAAGCAGGAGUAGUGGUUCAGUCACAGGCCUCGUUGUUCCUGAGCUAAACUUGGGGCCGCCAAAAGCUCGAGCUGCUUGGCCUAUGAGGCCGAUGAGAAAGCCGACUGCCCGCAGGAGCAGCAACUGGAUUCUGAUGGUGAACGGGAGUGCCAUAGCAGCCUGGAUUCCGCAGGGUCCUACUGCGUGAAGGUUGCGCGCACGCUGGGCAAAAGAAGAAAAUGAUGAGCAAGGAGAGAAUUUUUGCUGUAGAUGAAGAUAGAUGCUUGCAUGGAGAUGGGACCACUAAGGCAUGGUGGCUGCUGGACCUCCUCGUUUUAGUUGCCAAUUCCUCACACACAUAUUCUUUGCUCCAACUACACCAGCCUAUUUGAAGUCCCCUAAAACCGUGGUUUCCAAACUGUAACUGCUGUUCAAAAUAAUUAGAAUGAUCCCUAAUAUGUUUGUAAAUAUUUAUGUAUAGACUAUAUUGUACUGUGCUAAUACGAAUUUCAUAUCCUAUGGACUAAAAUGAAAUGUAUGUUAUAGAACAGAAAGAAGAAAGCAAUUGAGGUAUAAUAUUAUUUUCAAGGUCCUGUAUUUUCCCAUGUUCCAAUGUAUUAUUUUGUGCCCUCUGAGAAGUACUUACACACACAUCCUCCACCUUGAAUACGCUGACCUAAAACUACAUAUGCUAUUAUAACAUUCCCUUAACUGAUAUCCACUUCCAGCCCCUUAUUGCUGCACCUCUGAAACAUAUUCAACCUCAAACUUCAUGACUCAACUCAGGUACCAUACAUUUUAAGAAGCUUUUUCUGACCACUACAAUGCCCAAUGUGAUUAGAUACUCUUAUUUUGAAUUUCCAGCACACCAUAUUCUGCCCUAUCAUGGCACGCAGCACACUGUACUGUAAUUAAACAAAGCCCCUCCCCAAAAGAGUGGAAAUCCUCUAUGGUAAGUCCCUAAGUUAGUCAUCUCUGUAUCAACAGAGUCUGGAACAGAGUAGAUAUUCAAAGAGUGUUGAUUGAAUAAGUGAACAAAUGAAUGAAACCAUCAUAAUUUUGUUUUGAGCACUCCUGUCAGAGUCUAUGUUCUCUUACCCACUUAACCCACUACAACCCACAUAUAUAAACAUAACAAUACAUACAUCUGAAAAUAUACACUCAUUUUGGUAAACAUUAUAUUCAUAAUAAAAAGAUGAACAAGUCUACA
rnacentral:lncRNA from 1 species